rnacentral:rRNA from 1 species
AGGGAAAGAGGGAGGAAGGAGGAACACAUGCAAGUCGAGCGGAUGAAGGGAGCUUGCUCCUGGAUUCAGCGGCGGACGGGUGAGUAAUGCCUAGGAAUCUGCCUGGUAGUGGGGGAUAACGUCCGGAAACGGGCGCUAAUACCGCAUACGUCCUGAGGGAGAAAGUGGGGGAUCUUCGGACCUCACGCUAUCAGAUGAGCCUAGGUCGGAUUAGCUAGUUGGUGGGGUAAAGGCCUACCAAGGCGACGAUCCGUAACUGGUCUGAGAGGAUGAUCAGUCACACUGGAACUGAGACACGGUCCAGACUCCUACGGGAGGCAGCAGUGGGGAAUAUUGGACAAUGGGCGAAAGCCUGAUCCAGCCAUGCCGCGUGUGUGAAGAAGGUCUUCGGAUUGUAAAGCACUUUAAGUUGGGAGGAAGGGCAGUAAGUUAAUACCUUGCUGUUUUGACGUUACCAACAGAAUAAGCACCGGCUAACUUCGUG